rnacentral:rRNA from 1 species
UGGCGUAAGGGUGCGUAAUCAUCGUGGGAAAUCUGCCGAGAAGUGGGGGAUAGCCCGCCGAAAGGCGAAUUAAUACCGCAUGUGGUCAGUGAGGACAUCCUCGCGAAACCAAAGCCGGGGCAACCUGGCGCUUCUUGAUGAUCCCGCGGCCUAUCAGCUAGUUGGCGGGGUAAAAGCCCACCAAGGCUAUGACGGGUAGCUGGUCUGAGAGGACGACCAGCCACACUGGAACUGAGACACGGUCCAGACACCUACGGGUGGCAGCAGUCGAGAAUGUCUUCUCAGAUGGGGGAAACCCUGCAAGGAGCGACGCCGCGUGAAGGAUGAAGGUCAUCUCGGAUUGUA